rnacentral:rRNA from 1 species
GAUGAACGCUAGCUACAGGCUUAACACAUGCAAGUCGAGGGACCGGCGCACGGGUGAGUAACACGUAUCCAACCUGCCCUUUACUCGGGGAUAGCCUUUCGAAAGAAAGAUUAAUACCCGAUAUAAAGAAUGGGGAUGCGUUCCAUUAGGUUGUUGGUGAGGUAACGGCUCAACAAGCCUUAGGUGGAUAGGGGGUCUGAGAGUAAGGUCCCCCACAUUGGAACUGAGCCACGUUCCAAACGUCUACGGGAGGCAGCAGGGAGGAAGAUGUGUCAAUGGGCGCUAGCCUGAACCAUCCAAGUAGCGUGAAGGAUGAAGGCUUAUGGGUCGUAAACUUCUUUUAGAUAAGAAUAUGUAUUAUAUGAAUAAGGAUCGGCUAACUCCGUGCCAGCCGCCGCGGUAAUAC